GUAAGUAGAACAAGAUUUACUGUUUAUUCUUCUUCAAAAGAUUUACUGUUUAUUGUAGUAGAAUAAUUUAUUCAAAGUCAUUCAAAUUACAGUUAAUUGCAAAAAGUUAACAUUCCCCCAAGGAACUGAAAAACAAUAAAGGCAUCAUCUUGACCUGCCUGCCAUUGGCUAUUUGAAUAUUCCAAGAUAUUUGAGUUAGCAAUGGCUGUUCAAGUAAAGCAAUCAAUAAAAUAUUUGAGAACAGUAGCGAGAGAAACAGAAUGCCAUAUUUUAACUGUCAAGAUACACACUGUACAGAUCUUGAUAGGUUCCUAAAUCUUUGAUUCCUUUCACUCAAUAGAUAGAACACACAUUUACAAAGUAUCUUCUUCCAUCUUCCUUGUAAAUGAAGGAAUCGAGUAGAAGGAGAAAGGACAAAUACACCUUGCAAUGAAUCUAAGUCAUCCUUUGAAUUCCUUGUUGCAACAUUUCCCCAAGCCUCCUAUACAGAGCUUCUUGUUCAUCGAAUGAUAGGUUCAUCAAUAUCUGAAGUAACCAGUGUAAAACCAUAAAUACGUCGUUUUUCAAAAUAUUAUUUAAAGAGUGUGUUG
rnacentral:lncRNA from 1 species